rnacentral:lncRNA from 13 species
AUGAAAAGCUGGUGUGCAACUAGAGAGUCCAGACAUGAAAUGCAAAACGGUUGGCAUAGCUACUUUGGCUGGAGAAGACAAGAGCAUGGUCAUGAUGCAAGAAAAAAUGGAAGAGGCAGUCUGAUGAACUCCAAAUGGAGUCAUCCAAAAUGCCAUCCAAAUGGCAGAAUGGCACAGGAGAUGAGAGCUGCCACGG